AGACGGUAUUUGAGCUUGUGACCGCCUCAUACCGAUUCGCCAUUGGGGAGCUAGGCAACAAGCCUUGAGGAGGCCGUGAAGUGGGCGGGAUUGCGGGACGGUGGUACUUCGACCGCCGGAGAAUCUCUG
rnacentral:misc_RNA from 1 species